AUGCCAGAGCUGCGAAGUGGUGUUCGGAGAGCUCGUCUGAGGUCCAGCAGGCUUGAAGACAUCCAGGCUGCAGAUCAGGUAGCCGCUCCCGUGUUGCCAGCUCCCAGGGGGAGGGGUGGGAGGCGUGGUGGUGGUGCAGCUGGCAGAGGCAACAAGAAAGCAGCUGCCACGGGAAGAGGAAGGCCAGCUCCAAAGGCUAGAGGAAAGAGGGUCGAGGCUAUUGACUUGACUGACCAGCCUUUUGAGGACAUCCCUGAAGCUAUCGUUGGAGAGGCAGUUGCAGUCACCGCCCAGCAGGACCUUGCUUUGAACAAGGUAGCUGACAGGGCCGCCAACUUCAAAAUGGAAGGUGCAAGUGGUGACAGACUUGCAGCAGCGGAAGAUGAAGCCACGACGACGCCUGUGCCUGAGAGGGUUCAAGUUGGUGGCUCUCCAGAAUAUAUAACUGAUAGGAAGUUGGGCAAAGGUGGAUUUGGCCAGGUCUAUGUUGGCAGAAGAAUAACUGGUGGGGCAUCUCGUACGGGUCCAGAUGCAUACGAGGUUGCACUCAAACUCGAACAUCGGAGAAGCAAAGGAUGUAGUUAUGGCCCCCCGUUUGAGUGGCAGGUUUAUCAGUCUCUUAAUGGUUGUUAUGGCAUACCAUCAGUCCACUACAAGGGUCGCCAGGGAGACUACUACAUUCUCGUAAUGGAUAUGCUUGGUCCUAGCCUCUGGGAUGUUUGGAAUUCAAUGGGACAGGCGAUGUCUUCUCAUAUGGUUGCUUGCAUUGCCGUUGAGUCCAUAUCAAUCCUUGAGAAGCUUCAUUCCAAAGGCUUUGUCCAUGGAGAUGUAAAGCCAGAAAACUUUUUGCUUGGUCAACCUGGAUCACCUGAUGAGAAGAAGCUUUUCCUAAUUGAUCUUGGUUUAGCAUCCAAGUGGAAAAAAGCAUCAUCCAGUCAGCAUGUUGAAUAUGACCAGAGGCCAGACAUCUUUAGGGGAACAAUUAGAUAUGCUAGUGUCCAUGCUCAUUUAGGCCGUACAGGCAGUAGAAGGGAUGAUUUGGAGUCACUAGCGUACACCCUUAUUUUUUUAAUAAGAGGAAGAUUACCUUGGCAAGGCUUUCAGGGAGACAACAAGAGCUUUCUUGUAUGUAAGAAGAAGAUGGCUACCUCUGCGGAUGUUCUGAGUUGUUUCUGUCCACCUCCAUUCAAACAUUUUCUUGAGAUGGUCACUAAUAUGAAAUUUGAUGAAGAGCCAAAUUAUGCAAAACUUAUUUCUCUCUUUGAUAGUCUGAUUGAAGUGCCUGCUUCAAGACCCAUCAGAAUUGAUGGUGCUCUAAAGGUUGGGCAGAAACGUGGAAGAAUGGUUGUAAAUCUUGAAGAAGAGGAACAGCCUAAGAAGAAAGUUCGGUUGGGGAGCCCAGCAACUCAAUGGAUUUCGGUUUAUAAUGCUAGGCGGCCCAUGAAGCAGCGAUACCACUACAAUGUAGCCGAUUCAAGGUUGCACCAGCAUAUAGAAAAAGGCAAUGAAGAUGGCUUGUACAUUAGUUGCGUAGCUUCUUCAGCAAAUUUUUGGGCUCUCAUAAUGGACGCUGGGACCGGGUUUGGUUCUCAAGUGUAUGAGCUUUCACAAAUUUUCCUGCACAAGGAUUGGAUUAUGGAGCAAUGGGAAAAGAACUUCUAUAUAACAGCAAUAGCUGGAGCAACCAAUGGAAGCUCAUUGGUUGUGAUGUCCAAAGGAACUCCGUACACACAGCAGUCAUACAAAGUCAGUGAAUCUUUUCCUUAUAAGUGGAUUAAUAAAAAGUGGAAAGAAGGUUUUCAUGUAACAUCCAUGGGUACUGCUGGGAACCGUUGGGGAGUUGUCAUGUCGAGGAAUGCGGGCUACUCUGACCAGGUUGUAGAGUUGGAUUUUCUGUAUCCAAGUGAAGGACUCCAUCGGCGAUGGGAGAGUGGUUACAGAAUAACUUCAUCCGCAGGCACACCUGACCAAGCUGCUUUUAUCUUGAGCAUACCAAAGAGGAAGCCACUGGACGAGACCCAGGAAACCCUUCGAACUUCUGCCUUCCCCAGUAACCACGUGAAGGAAAAGUGGGCGAAGAACCUGUACAUCGCCUCAAUCUGCUACGGGCGAACCGCGUGUUGA
rnacentral:rRNA from 1 species